ACUUUCUUAAUCAAAUGAUUCCAAAUUUGAUCAGUACAUCAGUGCAACAUUCCAAUUUUCUUCAAUCUUAGAAGAAGGGAAACUGGCUUCCAGUAGCUUUGUUAAAAUUGAACUUCACGGUCACCAUCAACAUUUGAAUUAUCUCAGGUUCACAGAUCACUCCCAUAAGAAAGAUCGGCAAAUGGCUACUCCAAGUUUCUCGGGUGGAAUCGAUCCUGUCAAAAAGGAGGAAAAAAUACAUUCGAAAAAAGUUCUCUUUGAUCUAGUAGAAUUUCCCAAGGAUCAAAAUACAUCCAGUUUGGUACUUUCUGCCCUUCUACUCUUGAUUCUGACUGUUGGAGGAUUAAUACUAACUGGUGUUGUUAUCCUCAGGGCUGUUGAAAAGAACACUAAAAAAUUUGUUCCAGUUCCGGUGAGACCACCCGAGCAACAGAAUCCAGAUCAAAGUGGAACAUCUAAGGAAGGACCCUUACAGCAAGCUCAUGUUAAAGGAAAAGUUAUAGAAAAGAUUGAGCCGAAUGAUUCAGAACUUUUAGAUGAUAGCUUAGGAUUCACAGCGAUAGAUUACAAACCGAUGAUGCUCAGAAAAGGCAACUCAGGAGUGAACAGACUUGCAAAUAAGCUGGAAAAGAUAAAUUAUAUGAAAGGUCCUAAAUUUUCACAUCCCGAAAGAUUCCCUUCUUUUAAUUUGGAUCAAGCUAAAUAUCGUGCUUAAGAUGUGACGAAUUAUUAAAUCAAUAAAAUAAUUACAUUUGAACCUA